AUUGAACGCUGGCGGCAGGCCUAACACAUGCAAGUCGAGCGGAUGAAGGGAGCUUGCUCCUGGAUUCAGCGGCGGACGGGUGAGUAAUGCCUAGGAAUCUGCCUGGUAGUGGGGGAUGACGUCCGGAAACGGGCGCUAAUACCGCCUACGUCCUGCGGGAGAAAGUGGGGGAGCUUCGGACCUCACGCUCUCAGAUGAGCCUAGGCCGGAUUAGCUAGUUGGUGGGGUAAGGGCCUUCCAAGGCGACGAUCCGUAACUGGUCUGAGAGGAUGAUCAGUCACACUGGAAGGGAGACACGGUCCAGACUCCUACGGGAGGCAGCAGUGGGGAAUAUGGGACAGUGGGCGAAAGCCUGGUCCAGCCAUGCCGCGUGUGUGAAGAAGGUCUUCGGAUUGUAAAGCACGUUAAGUUGGGAGGAAGCGCAGUAAGUUGAUACCUUGCUGUAUUGACGGUACCAACAGAAGAAGCACCGGCUAACUUCGUG
rnacentral:rRNA from 1 species